GCACACGCCUGGCCAUGCUCAGCAACAACCUGACACACUGGAAGAAGCUCCCGCUGCUGCCAUCUCUGACUAACCAACCGCACCAAGUGCUCGCCAGCGACCCUGUCCCCUUUGCAGACCUGCAGCAGGUGUCCCGGAUAGCUGCCUAUGCCUUCAGCGCACUCUCACAGAUCCGUGUCGACGCCAAAGAAGAACUGGUUGUAUAGUUUGGCAUCCCCUGAACCUGCCCCCAGCACUGCUGCUUCAGCACUUUGGGUUGUUUUUGGUUUUUUCCUGAUUUUUUUUUAUUUUGUAUCCCUUCCCUCCCCAUGCUCCUGCCACAGAACUUGGACAGAUACCCUGUUUCCUACUAAAUGCCAAGGUGCCAAUCAUUGGCACGUUGAGCCCACCUGCAUUGCUUGAGGCUUUCUCCUCCUUAUGGGUGAGUGGGAGGGUGUUUGUGGGGAGUAGGCUGUGUCAGCUGGAUGCUGCCUUGCACAGGGACAAGCACAAAGGGAACAGCCGGUGCAAGGAGGCCUUGAUGUAGGUCAGCACCAUAUGCCAGGUCAGCAGGACAGGUGGGCUGGAGCCAGGCAGAUGUGAUGCUCUGCAUGGGGCCUGGUGGCUCCAGCACCAUCCCUUCUCCUUUUUACAUGUUUAGACCUUUAUUUUAGUUGUUUUUGUUUGGUUGGUUGGUUUUUUAAAUUAUUAUUAUAUUUUGCCGCAGUAGAUAAAGCCACAUUCAUCCAGUGCCUGUCUCCACUGUUCUCUGUCAGACACAGCAUAGACACGAUGGGGGAGCCAUGCCCUGGUGGGGGAGUACACACAUCUGUCUGUCCCUUGUCACCUCUUUGAUCGUGAUCCACAGGGCCAAGAGGACAAGGGGACAGAGAAGGUAUGAUGAUCUAGCUAAAGGGAAGGAAGUACCUAAGAUUCAUAAAUGCUCAUGGUUGAAAGCAAUGUCAAAAGUCAGAGGCUUUGCAAAUAAUCAGAAAGUUUUAUUAGUAAAUUACACACUUGAUUUUAAUCUCAUUCAAUGCUCACCUCCUACAGUGCAGGAACUACAACAAGGAUGUUUUUCCAGUGCCGCCCUAUAGUUGUUUAUUACCAACAGUCCUGGCUAGACUCAGCAGCCAUCCAAAUAUCUGUGUUUGAGACGUACACAUUAGCUCUCCUGCUCUGGGAGCAGAACGCGCAGUGUGUCCCGGCGGCAGGCAGAGCGUGCCCCCUACAGCCCACCGCGUGUGCCAGCCCGCCCCCGGCCCGCCCCGGCCCGGCGCUGCCCGACGGGAGGCGGCGGGGACGGGCCGGCGCGGCCGUUCGAAUAACAGCCCGGGACCGGAGCCCGGCUAGAACUGGAGCCUCGGCAACGAUUCAGGAGAUGAAGACAGACACGAUUCCCCAGCCACGGUACGGGUAAAGCUGACACGAGGCGGGCUCCGGUGGUUCCCUCGGCGGGUCCCCUUCCCUAAGGACGGGCGUGUGGUUCUUAGUUUCCCGGGGCUUGGCAAGUUCGGAGCCUUCGCCAGCGGCAUUUGACGGCCGCGUUCUUCGCGGGUUCUUUUACUAUCCCAGCGCAAGUUUGAAAAAAUCUUCUCCUUGUGCCCUUCCUGUGCCGUGCUCGGGGCAGCCCUAUCCUGCGGUCCUGAGCCUCCUCAGGCAGCCCAGGCGCUGUGGAGAUGACUUCCGAGAGUCUCCGGAGCAGCAGCGAGGGGUGAGCAGCACAAAGGUUUAUGCUGAUACCCUCAAUGAUCUGUCCCACUCCAGGACUGUAGUGUCUUCAUCAGAAUUAUCCACAAAAUAUACUGCAAUCCACAUGGCAGAGAAAGGGUGGGCCCACACUUCACGGGUGAAGAAGGUCAAGCUUCAGGAGGAAACUCCCGAGUGGAAGGUUGUCUCUUCCCCUGGGGACGUCACAUUAAGGUUACGCCGACCAAGUAAAUGACAUAGGGGGACAAUAUAAGUUGCGGUCUCGCCAGAUGCGCAUGUUAUCCUUUUGUACACUUCAAAUGCGAAUAUUGUAACGGGGUGUGGGUUACACAUUGUAUAAAUGGGGAUUGUCCAAAAGGAUUGUGUAAAAGGUGUCUUAGGACUGAGCAGAAACUGAGCGUUGCUUCUUGGUGAUCACCACAUGGGCGGGGGGUAUUGAAUUGGAUUCUGAGGAGCGAUAUCAUUGGUAUCAAAACAGGAUAAGGGGCAAAUUAAAUUUGAAAACCCAGAUUUUAGCUAUUGAGUGCUGAAAACAAGUUGAAGUAUUUUGCUGGUCAACUACAAUUAAAAUACUUGAGUGGGAUGCCUGCAAACAGAGGUUUUAGAAUCGGUACAGGCAGGGGGCCCCAGGAAACUAUACCUGCUGCCGAGAAGAUGGUCUGCCACGCCGCUGGUGGCAAUCCAGUGGGCGCUAGUCCAGGCAGAGGAAUACGAAUCCGGGUAACCCUCCUCAGCCUGAGCAUAAUCAUAUGUUUUGCGGCAGGUAUGCCCGCAGGGGAACAGCCUCAAUAUCAAAGGGUGCUGCACUGUGUCCCUCUGCUCCUGGCUGGGGGAGCAGGAUCAACAGCGGCUAGCUCCGACACAGCCAGCACCGGGGGGCACUCUCCGGAUGCACUGCGGUGUCCAGAGAGCGCCUAGCUGGAAUAUUUAGAGGCAGCUGUGGCAAAGUGAAGAAAAGAGGGUCUCCAUCUUGGGGCGAAAAUCCAGUUUUAUUGAACACCAGGGGAACCACCCAACCGGGGACCCCGGGCAGCCGGUUACACGGGGUUAUAAAGGGGGAGGAGAACAGGGGUGUAACUGGACCCAGCUCCAAUCGGGAAACAGGGGGGUGGGGGGCUACAAAGGAGUGACAGUUGGGGUAACAAAUGCAUUUGAACUGGGGGCGGGACCUCGGCUCCUAAUCCAAUCACUCGACGGGAACAGCAGAAGAUUCUGGAGCAGCGGGAGGGGCCGCCGAGUGAUGGAUAGUGGUCUGGGGAGGGGUUACAGUAAUGAAUUAGCACAAAUAAGGACAAUUGGGGUGGAGAUAAGGGGAUUGGCAUGAACUGAUGGGGAGGGGAGAACCAGGGCAGAACCAUAUAACAGGAGUGAACAGGGGUGAACAGAACAUACCAACUUUACAUAAUCUGCAAUAAAAAUGACACACCACAACAAAAGGGGAAGGUUCUAAAUGCGAAACAUGUUUACAAGCUGCCUCGAGGAGGCAGACAGAAGCUCCCACAUUAGCAACACCGUAUGGCUGUGAAAAAGGAGGAAAUAAGCAGGUACUGUCUCAUAAAUGGCCCUCAAUAUGGGAUGUGUAAAACAGAACAGAAAAUUAAUUGUGACACAGAUAUGGUGAUCACCAAGUACAAACUGUCAGGUCCUCUCGCCCACCGACAACAAAGGAGCGAUGUUGGAAAAAUGUCAGUUCCUACAUGUAAUCUAUGUAACCGUACAGUGUAGGUUGGGGGUAAGAAGGAAUCGGUAUUUGUGGUGUACCUGCAAGUUUACAAGCUUUGCUAUGAUAAUAACAAGUUGGAAAUGUGUACAAUAGGGGAUAAAACUUUUUGGGUGGGCAGGAAUUUGAAAGAUGAAAGUAAGAUAUCACAUAAUGAACCAGUUAUCUUAGAUCUCUUAAGGGAAAAUGAUAAUAGAAGAUAUUUACAGUACGAUAGGGUUUUCUGUUUUUCGAAAAAUAAAGAAGGGUUGGAUCCUGAAAAUAAAAUGCGGCAGGUGGCUUUAGAGCUUAAGUGGCAAGAAUCAGAAUUAAGAAAGAAAAGAGUAGAGCAAGAAAGGCUAAAAACUCUGAGUGAGCAAUACGAUCAAUUAGAGAAGCAAUAUAGUAAUAUGGGCUUUCCUGCUUCAGACAAAAAUUUAUUCAUUGACUUGAUGCAAGAAAUAGCUACCAAACUAGGAGUAACUAACUGUUGAAUUUGUGGGGGGCUAAAAUCUGCUGAAACAUGGCCAUGGAAAGGUGAGAGCUUAAUUCCAGAACAAAUCUUAAAACGGGAAUACACUCGGAUAUCGAAAACUAUUCAACGGCCUGAGGGCUGGUUGUUGGAUGAACGAGUAAUCGGAACCUUUUGUAUUAGCCAGGAGGGUUGGGAGUACACUGAAGUGGUGGGGUAUACCCCUUGUGUCUCCACCCUAGCAGUUAACUCCAAUGACAAAAGUAAAAUUUGGCAGCCAGAACCACCAGCUGGGUAUUGGAGUCAGAUCAGAGAAAACAACUGCAAAUGGAAUGAGCGAAUCGAACUUUGUUGAAAUAAAGGCUCUGGAAUUAACCCUUACCAAUCACUGACUGAAUUAAGAGAAUAUUGGAACGAUCCAGGGUAUACAAGAAUAAAGUGGAAAGCCCAGAUGGGCUUUACUGGAUAUAUGGGAGGAAGGCCUAUAGUGAGCUACCUCAAAGGUGGAAGGGAUCUUGCACAUUAGGUAUAAUCAGGCCAGUGUUCUUUACCUUGCCCAGGUCAGAGAGUAAUUCAUUAGGGGUUCCUUUAUUUGAAACUCUGAAUAGAAAUAAGAGGGAUAUAAGGAAUAAAUUCCCUGUUACAGGAGGGGACCAGAGAUGGGGAGGAGAUGAAUGGCCUGCCGAGAGGAUCAUAGAAUAUUAUGGAUCAGUCACUUGGGUGCAGGAUGGAAGCUCGGGAUAUUGAACUCCUAUAUAUCUGUUAAACAGGUUAAUCAGGUUGCAAGCAGUAGUAGAAAUAGUCUCCAACCACACAGCAGAUGCCCUGGAAUUAUUGUCCAAACAACAUACGCAGAUGAGGGCCUUUGUAUACCAGAACAGGAUAGCUUUGGACUACCUACUAGCAGAAGAAGGAGGCGUUUGUGGAAAAUUUAAUGAGUCUGAAUGCUGCAUCAAGAUAGAUGACUAUGGGGAAACAAUUAGAGGCGUGGCAGCCGAAAUUAAAAGAGUGGCUCAUGUCCCGAUACAGAAGUGGAACUCCAUUCUCCAAGCUUCAUGGUGGGACUACUGAGCUUACAAAGCAACAUCUGCAGGAAUUGGGAAACGGAUUACCUCAUGCUUCAUUUUAAAUGCAGUAUCUACAGACACACACUAAAUUAACAAAUGAAGGGGAAAGACUCCGCAGCCCUGGAGCUCUUAACUAAAUCAUGGAACGGGACAUCAGCGGCCCAUCGUGGCUACCGAUAACUAGAGAUAGCAUAUUUUAUGAUAAUCAACAUAGCAUGAAUAGCCAGUUCUGGGAAUCUCACUAGCAUGUAAAAACUUGAUUCCUGUAAACGCUAUUCAACACAUAUGUAUUCCCGGAUGCGGUUUGUGUAUUGCGGCGCGGCUUUUGUCCGAGAGAGACAGGUUUCUGCACUUGCUGAAUGAGAAACAAGAGGACAACAUGAAUAUUCCCGAAGCUCCGGAGCCUGGACUGUUUGUUCAUCUGAGAGACUUAUCCUACACUGGAGAAACAUCGAAAGCUCAUCAGACUGAGAAAAGGACAAAAGAAAAAGGGGCGAGAAAAAGAGUAUAAAACCUGGACUGAGCCACGCAGAAUUUGUGAACUCACCAACCUGAUGCGUGAGGGGGUCAGGUCUGCGUUCACCCAGAGCUAAGUCCCGGGCUUGGCUCUGCCCUUUUGAUUCAUGGCUGACACAAAUUGUAAUCCAAAUGUGAAAUAAAUUCUGUCUUUUUUAUUAUUAUAAUAAUUUGGCUUUCGCAAAUUAUUGAUUUGGCUUAAUUGGCAUUUUACCUAUAACAUGGUCAAGCAUGAUUGGUCUGGGUUUUGGGCAUGCCAUUUCUGAGCUGCAUUUGGGUUCAAUGACCCUUGUGAGUCCCUCCAACUCAGGAUAUUCCAUGAACUGGUGGCUGCUCGGGAAGAGUGUAGUCACAAAUAAGUGCAUGAGGGAGCUUCAGCUUCCCCAAAAUCCAGCAAGAAAAGCCUGAGGCUCUGUGCAUGGACUGGCCCCUGUGUUGCUUCUUGGCCAGUGGGGCCACCACAAGCUCCCUGUGCUAUGCUGGAUGCCAGGGCUGGCGGGCAGAAUAGGAAGCAGUGCUGGGGGGUUGUUGGCUGCCUGGCUCCAGCUGCUCUCCCAGCUGGAGGAUUCCGGGGGAUUCCGCUCCCAUGCAUUGCACGGUUGGUCCUGGCUCUGCUGGCCCUGGUGUGGGGGCAGCAGGCAGAGCAGCGCCCCAGAGCCAGCCCCUGGCUCAGCAAACCCUGCUGCACAAAACUCAGCGUUGGUCUUGUGAUAAAUAUUAGAGUAAAUUCAUGAAAUGAAAUCAUAUUUGUAAGAUGCCUGUCAGAAAUAGUACCAAGGUUUAGAAAUCACAUGCAGGAGCUGGAGAAAAGAUUGCCUCACUGCAUUGUGAAAUCAGUGGUCACUGAAUAGAGUUCCAAAUUAGCAAGUGAAGGGACUAGCCACUGCGGAAGCAUUGGGUGAUUUUGGAACACCCAAGCCAUCAAUGGCUAAUAACAACUCAAGAUCAAGAUAACCCAGAACUUGCAUCCCAAUGCCUAGUUCCCAUAACUUGAAAUUUAACAUUCAUCUUUUCCCGGAGAUGGUUUUGUCCACCCGGAGACAGGCUUCUUCCAACACCGGACAGAGAAAAGAGACUGCUUGAAUAUUUGAAGGAAAGAAAAGAAUAAGAGGAACUUUGCUCCAGGCAAGAAAAAUAGUAUAUAACCUAGGCUCACCAGUUGGAUUUUGUGAACAUUGGGGGUUCCGAUGCGAUAGAGGUCGGAACGAAGUUCACCCAGUGCUGAGACCCGGGCUCGACGCUGUCCCUUUUGAUUGUGGCUGUCGGAGAUUGUAUUUAGAUUCGCAAAAUAAAGUAUUUUUCUUUUAAUUUAAUUUGGCCUUCUCCAUUAUC